ensembl:lncRNA
GUUUAGUGUAGAGGCACAGCCCUCCUCUAUUUUUCAGUGUGAUUACUCUAGUGAUGGACAAGCAUCCAGUGGUUAUAAAGGAAAAACAAACAAAUUAAAUGGGGAAUAAGAGGGAGAGGAGGAAUAACAGUGACCAUAUCUCUGACUUCUGGCUGUGUCAGUAACUGGUGGUGUGAUGCUGGGCAAGUCACUUCAUUUUGCUUGGCCUCAGUUUCUCCAUCUUUAAACAAAGAACUUGGUCUAGAUCUGGAAGGCUUGGCCCUGGAUCAGCAUUAUUAUAAUCACCUGGGAGCGCCUUAGACAUGCAGAUUCUCAAACCUCACUCGGAUCCCACAAUCAGAAGCUCCAGGGGUGGGACCCAGCAAUUUGUGUUUUAACAAGCUCUCCAGGCAAUUCUGGUCACACUCAAGUUUGAGAACAAGCCACUGUAGAAGCUUGGCUGUCAGCAGCCAGAGCUAUGCUGCGGAAGAGUUGGAACAGCUCUCCUCUUGGUCCUGAGAGGUCCCUUCCUAACGGAACACUGUAAUGAAGCAUGUAUUAUCUUCAGGGCAAAGGAAUCACCCCAGGUGUCUAAAUGUUGUGGCUAUCUAGACGCCCAUCUUUCUGCAGUUCCACGGUCUGCUUGUUUUGGCAAAGCCAUGGAAAUGGGGUCAGCCGACUUCUGUCAGGGCUGAGUGUGAGAGAUUCAAUGCGUCUCUGCAAAACUGAACCGGACGUGCUUCUGAAGCUAGAGCUCAGCCGCCAGCGAGCUGCCGCUUUGCACAAUCUGCUUGGGUCACUGUUCCACACAGGUUCCUCUUGUUCAGGGCUUUGGUCCUCACCCUGCUUUCGCUUGUCUCAGCUGCAGAGUCUUUUUCCUGCCAGUUCUUCUCCCCCAAGGCCUAGCAAGGAUGUGAAGUCUAAAAGAAGAUAAGGUGAACAGGCACAAAUAGCCACAGAUGUGGGGUUGGGUUUAGAUGUUCUGGCAGGAGUGUGAAGGAAGCCAUGGGAAGGUAAAAGUGGUGACGCAACAUGAUGGGAAAUUCUCUUUUGUAGUGAAGUUUGAGAGUGAAGGCCUGCUGUCCCGAGGGGUUUUGGAGGUGGGAUUGUUCAGGGCUGUACCAUUUCCUCCGGCAGCCACUGCCCAUGUUGUUUUGAGCUCUUGAAGUCAGGCUAGUCUGAACUGAGACAGGCUGGAGGUGUAACAUAGACACAAGAUUUCCUGCAGUUAGUACCAAAAAAGUUUAAAAAAAAAUCCCCAAAUGAAACAAGCCUCAAUAAUUGAUUGAAUUUUGAAACUAACUUUUACGUGUUGAAACGUUAAUGUUUUGAUAUAUUGAGUUACAUAAAAUGUAUUAUAUUAAUUUUAAUAAUUUUUCAGUGUGGUUUUUUUUUCUAUUUUUAAAUGUAGCUACUGGAAAAAGUUGAAUUACAUGUGUGGUUGACUAUAUUUCUAUUGGACAGCACAGUUUAGAGGUCAAGAGUGUGGGCUCUGGAGACACAAGCUAUGUAGAUUUGAACUGUGGCUCCACAAAUCAUAGCUGUAGGACCCCAGGAAAGUCACUUUGGAACCCAGUGGCUUCCAAACCUUCCACAGAGACCCAUUUCGAUAUUCUCGUUGUAAAAAUCCUCAUGUAAAAUCACGUUUUACAGUACUUUUUGUUGUACACACAAACACACAUAUGAAAGAAAAAUAAUGAACUAGUACCACACGAUUUACAUUCUGAUAUCUUCCGUUCCAUGUCUUCUCUUUCCUCCUCUCCCCUCUUUUUUUUUCUGUUCAUUUAAUGCAAUGUUUGUCAUGACCUAUUAAAUUAACUUCACACUAGGGAUCACUAGCCCAUUUGAAAAUCCAGACUUAACCUCUCUGUGCCUCAGCUCUCAUCCAUGAAAAGGAGCAAAUACUAUCAGAAUCUCAAAGCCACUUUGACAACAUACAUAUAAUCUUAUAGGUAAGUCUUUUGUAUGAUGCCUGGUACAUAAUAGAGCAGUUGAUAAAUGGAAGAAAACAUUAUUCCAAAUGGAUCUUAAACUUUCUGUAUAAAUAGUAGUGUGGGAUAUAUAGGAAAAACUCUACUUAUAUGUUAGCUGCUAUAAUUGUUAAUGUAAUUUUAAAUGAGACUUUAAGUCUCAUACUACUUUUCCCUCCAAGAGAAGCCACCUGGCUUGAGGUUAUGUGGCAUUUCCAGAGUGGGAAUGGUAACUUCCAGCCCACCUUUGAUUCUAUCGAUGCUAUCAAGCCAGACCUCUUCAUGUGUUGCUUCAUAAGAGCUCUUAAGUUCUUUUUCCUUGUGAAUAUUCUCUUCCCCAAGUAGGUUGUACAUUCUCAGAGGACGAGAACUGUGCCAUCUUUCAUUUUUGUUCCUUCUCCAUCACACCCAGGACAUGGAGGGAACAUUAGUAGCAGAGAUUUUGGAGCCACAAGGUCUGGGGCUCAGACCUGGGCUCUGCCACCCACGGUGCUCUGUGGCCUUAGUGUCCUUAUCUGUGACAUGGAAGUGAAAGUGCCCUGCUCUCAGCUCUUCCAUGAGGAUUAUGACACCACCCUUAUGGCAGAAAGUGAAGAGGAACUAAAAAGCCUUGAU